GAUCAUGAGUCCCGGUGCGAAGCUCUGGCUAACCGGGCGGCAACCCUCCAGCUGUAGUGGGGUGCCCCAGAUGAGGAUCCGGCCGCCGCGCAACCGCGUGGUCGGCAAGUACGGCGC
rfam:Kocuria marina strain SO9-6 KM0045, whole genome shotgun sequence.